CCUACGGGAGGCUGCAGUGGGGAAUAUUGGACAAUGGGGGCAACCCUGAUCCAGCCAUGCCGCGUGUGUGAAGAAGGCCCUCGGGUUGUAAAGCACUUUCAGUGAGGAAGAACGCCUGGUGGUUAAUACCCAUCAGGAAAGACAUCACUCACAGAAGAAGCACCGGCUAACUCCGUGCCAGCAGCCGCGGUAAUACGGAGGGUGCGAGCGUUAAUCGGAAUUACUGGGCGUAAAGCGCGCGUAGGUGGCUUGAUAAGCCGGUUGUGAAAGCCCCGGGCUCAACCUGGGAACGGCAUCCGGAACUGUCAAGCUAGAGUGCAGGAGAGGAAGGUAGAAUUCCCGGUGUAGCGGUGAAAUGCGUAGAGAGCGGGAGGAAUACCAGUGGCGAAGGCGGCCUUCUGGACUGACACUGACACUGAGGUGCGAAAGCGUGGGUAGCAAACAGGAUUAGAUACCCUAGUAGUC
rnacentral:rRNA from 1 species